GUCACGAGACCGAUAGCGAACAAGUACCGUGAGGGAAAGUUGAAAAGCACUUUGGAGAGAGAGUUAAAAAGUACGUGAAACCGUCGAGAGGCAAACGGGAGGGCCUGUCGGGUCGUUCGGUCGCUUUCAGGCGGGCCGGAGACCGGGUCGCGGGAUCGGGGACCUUCGCGGGCCUCGACUCGCGUCGCCGGCCGACGGCUCGGCGCACUAGCGUCGGACGAGGGCCGCGACCGGCUGGGCGGCGGGCAAACGGCUCCGGGCAAGGUAACCCCGCUUCGGCGGGGUGCUACAGGCCCGGUGCGCGCAAGGGUCGCCGCCCGGUCGAGGAGAGAUGCGCGCCGCACCUGCCCCGUUCGCGGGGCCGGGGAAGCCGUUCGAGCAGCGUCGUGUCGCGGUCCGGGACUGUCCUCAGUCCCGGGUCGUCUCGGCGCGGUUCCGAGCGGUCGCUCCCUCGCGAGGUGCCGCGGGUCAGCGGCUGACGCCAGCCACCUUCCCGACCCGUCUUGAAACACGGACCAAGGAGUCUAACAUGUGCGCGAGCCGCGGGGCAGUACGAAACCCGUAAGGCGAAAUGAAGGUGAACGCCGGCGCGGUCCGGCGGAGGUUGGAUCCCGUCCCGUCGGGGCGGGCGCACUACCGGCCGAUCUUCUCCGCCCUGUCGGCGAGGUCGAGCGAGAGCGUGCAAGUCGGGACCCGAAAGAUGGUGAACUAUGCCUGAGGGAGUUGAAGCCAGAGGAAACUCU
rnacentral:ncRNA from 1 species